rnacentral:rRNA from 1 species
GAUGAACGCUGGCGGCGUGCCUAAUACAUGCAAGUCGAACGCAUAGCGAAAGGUGCUUGCACCUUUCAAGUGAGUGGCGAACGGGUGAGUAACACGUGGACAACCUGCCUCAAGGCUGGGGAUAACAUUUGGAAACAGAUGCUAAUACCGAAUAAAACUUAGUGUCGCAUGACACAAAGUUAAAAGGCGCUUCGGCGUCACCUAGAGAUGGAUCCGCGGUGCAUGAGUUAGUUGGUGGGGUAAAGGCCUACCAAGACAAUGAUGCAUAGCCGAGUUGAGAGACUGAUCGGCCACAUUGGGACUGAGACACGGCCCAAACUCCUACGGGAGGCUGCAGUAGGGAAUCUUCCACAAUGGGCGAAAGCCUGAUGGAGCAACGCCGCGUGUGUGAUGAAGGCUUUCGGGUCGUAAAGCACUGUUGUAUGGGAAGAACAGCUAGAAUAGGAAAUGAUUUUAGUUUGACGGUACCAUACCAGAAAGGGACGGCUAAAUACGUG